GUAGUCUCGCACAGAUGCAUAUCAAUAAGCGGAGGAAAAGAAACUAACAAGGAUUCCCCUAGUAACGGCGAGUGAAGCGGGAAGAGCUCAAAUUUGAAAUCUUAAAGGGUUUCCCUUUACGAAUUGUAGUUUAAAGAAGUGUUUUCUGUUGAGGUUUUGGUAAAAGUUCUUUGGAAUAGGACAUCAUAGAGGGUGAGAAUCCCGUAUUUGACCUUUACUUUCAACUUUGUGAUACACUUUCAAAGAGUCGGAUUGUUUGGGAAUGCAGUCCAAAAUGGGUGGUAAAUUUCAUCUAAAGCUAAAUAUUGGCGAGAGACCGAUAGCGAACAAGUACCGUGAGGGAAAGAUGAAAAGAACUUUGAAAAGAGAGUUAAACAGUACGUGAAAUUGUCAAAAGGGAAGCGUUUGACACCAGUGUUGUUUUUCUGAAAAUCAAUUAAAGAACUGUUUAUGCUAAGUUGUUUAGACUUUAUCAGCUAACUGUUUAGUUUUGAGCUUUUCUUUAAUGCACUUUUCAGUUAACAAGUCAACAUCAAUUUCUUUUGCUGUAAAAAAGCUUGAGGAAGGUGGCUUGAGAUUCGUCUUAAGUGUUUAUAGCCUCUUGCCUAUGCAGUCGGAGAGAUUGAGGUCUGCAGCGUAGAUCCUUCGGGGCUAAGUGCAUUUGUGCUAAGUUAUAGCAUUUUAUAGACAACUUGUUGACUAUGAUUUGUCUUGUAGCUUACUCGCUUAUGUUAUUUUACCUACGCUUAGGAUGUUGAUCUGUAGUGCGUGCGC
rnacentral:rRNA from 1 species